GUAAAUAAUAAAGGGCGUAUGGUGGAUGCCUAGGCUCUCAGAGGCGAUGAAGGACGUGAUAAGCUGCGAAAAGCUCCGUUUAGGUGCAAAUAACCUUUGAUGCGGAGAUCUCCGAAUGGGAUAACCCAAUAUGUUGAAGACAUAUUAUACCGUAAGGUAGGCAAACGCAGGGAACUGAAACAUCUAAGUACCUGCAGGAGAAGAAAACAAACGUGAUUCCCCCAGUAGCGGCGAGCGACCGGGGAUAAGCCCAAACCGUUAUUGUUUCGGCAGUAGCGGGGUAGUAGGACUGCGACAUUGAUGAAAUAAAUGAAAUGGAACACCUUGGAAAAUGUGAUCACAGAGGGUGAUAAUCCCGUACAUGUAAGUUUAUGAAUCAUAGCAGACUCCUGAGUAAGUCGGGACACGUGUAAUCCUGACCGAAUCCGCCGGGACCAUCCGGCAAGGCUAAAUACUCCUGAGAGACCGAUAGUGAACCAGUACCGUGAGGGAAAGGUGAAAAGCACUUCGAACAGAAGAGUGAAAUAGUCCCUGAACCCAUACGCCUACAAGCAGUCGGAGCCGCUUCGUGCGGUGACGGCGUGCCUUUUGCAUAAUGAGCCUACGAGUUACUCAUCACCAGCGAGGUUAAGUACUUCAGGUACGUAAGCCGAAGCGAAAGCGAGUCUGAAUAGGGCGUCAAGUUGGUGGUGGUAGACGCGAAACCUUAGUGAUCUACCCAUGGGCAGGGUGAAGGUUUGGUAACACAAACUGGAGGCCCGAACCGGUAAACGUUGAAAAGUUUUCGGAUGACCUGUGGGUAGGGGUGAAAGGCCAAUCAAACUGGGAAAUAGCUCGUACUCUCCGAAAUGCAUUUAGGUGCAGCCUCUGUUGUUUUGUUCUAGAGGUAGAGCUACUGAUUGGAUGCGAGGGCUUCACCGCCUAUCAAAUCCGGCCAAACUCCGAAUGCUAGAACAUGAAGACAGGGAGUGAGCCAGCGGGUGCUAAGGUCCGUUGACGAAAGAGGGAGAACUCAGACCAUCAGCUAAGGUCCCCAAUUAUAUGCUAAGUUGGAAUAAAAACGGGGUGGGACUGCUUAGACAGCUAGGAUGUUGGCUUGGAAGCAGCCAUUCAUUUAAAGAGUGCGUAACAGCUCACUAGUCGAGCGGUCCUGCAUGGAUAAUACGCGGGCAUAAGCAUAUAACCGAAGCUAUGGGAUUGUAGAUGAUACAAUCGGUAGGAGAGCAUUCCAUUCAGCAUAGAAGCAGUACCGUGAGGUAUUGUGGAGCGGAUGGAAAAGCAAAUGUAGGCAUAAGUAACGAUAAUGCGGGUGAGAACCCCGCACGCCGAAAGAUCAAGGAUUCCCCGGCAAUGUCAAUCAUCCGGGGGUAAGUCGGAUCCUAAGGGUAAGCCGAGUGGCGAUCCCGAUGGUAAACAGGUUAAUAUUCCUGUACUGAUCAUAACUGCGAUGCAGCGACGCAGAGGUGACACUGCUGCGUACUGACGGAAUAGUACGUUGAAACCCGUAUUCUUUGAUACCGGUAGUGAAGCACGCCGGUAGAGAUGAAAGGUGAUAGUACCGCAAUGCUUCGGUUGCGCGGAUAACGCAGGUAAGCUGACUGCCAAGAAAACCUGCUAAGCUUCAGGUAAUGAUCAUCCGUACUGUAAACGGACACACGUGAUCAGGUAGAAAAUACUAAGGCGCUCGAGAGAUUCAUGGUUAAGGAACUAGGCAAAAUGGUCCUGUAACUUCGGGAUAAAGGACGCUCUUGUGAAAGAGCCGCAGAUAAUAGGCCCAGGCGACUGUUUACCAAAAACACAUGGCUAUGCUAAUUCGCAAGAAGAUGUAUAUGGCCUGACACCUGCCCGGUGCCGGAAGGUUAAGAGGAGAGCUCAGAGGUAACUCGAAGGUUUGAAUUGAAGCCCCGGUAAACGGCGGCCGUAACUAUAACGGUCCUAAGGUAGCGAAAUUCCUUGUCGGGU
rnacentral:rRNA from 1 species